AAAAUCUUAAAGUAAUCGAUAGUUCUCUUGUUAGGUCUGAAUUCAAAGUCAAAAUUUAUUCCAAUUACCUGUUACCUAGUUUAAGAUUUCAUCUGACUGUUAACGAUAUUUGUAAAACUCAGCUUGAUAAACUUGAUUCCCUCAGUAGCAAGUAUGUAAAAAAAUGGGUCUAUUAAAUUUAAUAUAAUAGGCCUAUAUCAAUAAAUGUUUUACAUUUCAUGGCUUACAGGCGAUACCUAUGUGACAACACAGAGGACCACUUCUCUGAUGACGUAGAUUACGUAAUCGCUAAUCAUAUUCUGGUACAACGUAGUUUUGGAAAAAAAAAUUAUCUGCUUAGGCCUACCUACUUUUUUCUCGCAUUCAGUUUUAAAAAGGUUAGGCCUAAGCACUACGUAAUUAAACUCUUUUACAUUCUUGUAAUAUUUUUCUAUGCUGAGAUUUAAACGAAGAUGAUUAUUUUAUAUUUUAGCGUGGUUCAAUAACUACUUCCAGUCUCAUGAUAUUCUGGAUCGACUUGGAGUGAAACACAAUUUCAGGCGAUGGAAGGCAGUCGACUACAUUUUUAGAGACUACGAACCCGAGAGCAUCUACAGUGAAGGACCCUAUCCAUUGAAUCUAUUCGGCCUGAUUUACCGCAGUCCGAAUAUGAAGUUAACUGAUACUCUUCAUAGUGUGAAAUCUCUCGUGGACUUGGCUUACUUUCAGUACGACACCAUUUUCGACAAAUAUGGUAACACCACACUAGAGGAAUGGGCUAAAGAAAAAGAAGUUCCCCAGUCUUUUUACGAUAUACUGAUGAAACCUAUUUUGUCUGUUACCCUUAAUCGACGCGAUAUCUUCUGCGCAGCCGAGAUGCUCACGUACAACCAGAUCUAUUUUUUAAGUGACGCAACCGUGAGUUGGCAGCAAUGCUGUCCGAAUUUGGAAAAAUAACAUU